GUGUUGAUCUUCGAUCAGAUAUGCUAAGUUUAUGCUGGUCCAGGUAUAUUUUUUCAAUAUGUGUUAUUGGCUUUUUAAAUUUAAAGUUUGAUACGUUAUUGGCAUUUUAAAGUUUUAUUUGGUACUGGGCUAAUGAAUGGUGCGAUCUUGCAGAACGUUGUUGUAACACGUGUCUAAAGAACACGACUUUAAGUUUCUUGAUAGAUAAAAAAGGUUCGUGUCUGGGGUAACCACAGCGGGAGGACAAUUCAAUAUACUGGUGUUGAUACUCAGUUUGAUUAGUUUUCAUUCAAUUUGCCUCAUGGAUUUUAAGCCAAACUGUACUGUAUUGGUGGGAUUUAUGGCAUCAGAGACAACAAAAAGAUAAUAUGGUAUCUUUACAUUUUGUGUUUGCAAUUUUGGUAUAUAUACGAAUCUCGAUUUUGAUGUUCCUGUCAUUUGAAAUUGCUUGA
rnacentral:lncRNA from 1 species